CUAGAAAAAGCAAAUUGAUCUGGGCAACGAAUCGCUAAUUUAAUAUGCAUUCAUUUUUCUAGGAAAUCAAGACAAAUGACAAUAUUUCAUAAUUCACAUAUGGACCUCAUCGUAAAACUUAACUUCAUUCAAUAAAAUUAACGACCAAAUACAUAUGUUUCUAGAAACACCCAUAUAUAAGGGUGUUGUGCAACAGAAGGAAAAUUACAUAUGUUUUUGGAUGCGACACACGAGCAAAAUGAGCAUACAGUGGCUUCUAUGCUAAACUAGCAACCAAAAUUAGCUUUCCCCAUGGUUGUAAUGUUCCCAACAACACGAGGCCCUAAUCAUUCAAAAUGCUUAUAGUAUAUUGCUUUAACUUCCGCUAGCCUCUCGCUCUUGUGCUUCAGCAUUGCCUUCUCUUCCUUUUUCCAUUCUAUUUCCUGAAAAGAGAAAUUUUCGGCACAUUAGAAUUUACACGUCAGAUGUAAGUAGAUUGCCGUUUGUUUUCCUUCUCAUCGUUGCCUUUUGUUUUCAUUCUGACACAUCAUCUAAAUGUUCCAAAUAAAAUAUGGUCAGGUUCAUAGUUUUACUUGUUGAAGGGGGCAAACUAAUAUGAAGUCAUGACAGCAUGGCAAAACUUGGAACCCAAAUUUGGCCAUAUUCAAUUUUAUUUUUAAAAAAAUGCUUCACAAGCAUGAAUGGUAGAUGCACACAUGUGUACAGAAUGUCACCCUCAUUUGUCAAACCAUCUUUUUGGACUCAGACUAGAACAAAAAUAAAAAAUGAGUAAAUAAGUUCAGGUUGGAUAUAUGACUUACCUAGUGUACUCUCUGCCUCCAUUCAAACUUCUCCUAGCAUCUUGUAGCCUUUUCUCAGCUGAUAAUUACUUGCCCUGACAUAAUACAUGGAACAUAUAAGAAUCCAUGCUUCAUGUUAUUCUUAAGAAACAGUAACUUAUUGAGUAAAAUCUAGAUUGAAGACCUGAACCUUAUAAAAUUAGCAUGUAAUAACAAUUAAACUCUAGAAGAGUACUCCACUUUCAGUCUGUCUUAGCAGCAAAAUGAAAGGAGACAUAAAUAAGUUCUCUAGCUAGUUAUUUUUCUUCCAUGUAACAGUAUAUGUGCAUGAUGACAGUUGAACUAGAUGAUCUCACAUCGAUCGACCAAUGGGAAUAAACAGCACAAUACAAAAAUCUUUUUACCCAAAGCUUGCUUGUAAAACUCCUAUAGUGUUUUAAUAAUUUAGUUUUCAGUUGAAGCAUCCGCUUGUUUAGCACCAAAAUAUUAUUGAACUCCCUAUACUGAUAAGACUUAAUAAAACAUGUGAGCGGUCAUUUAGAAGUAUCCAGUGCGGCCAUAGUGCAUAGAUCAUUUAGAAGUUUUCACUGGCAGAGAGCAUAUCUACAGUCCUUUACGUACAAUAUAAAUUGUAACUGCAAACAUUCCCUGGUGCUUCCUAUCAAGAUGUCUGAAGAUGAAAAUGAUAAAAUGUUCUGAAGAACUGUUGAUACUCGAUUAAAUGGAGAAAUAUUUAAGGAGUGACUACCCUAAGUUCAAGCAUUACAAAAUACUAGAUGUUUCCUUUCGCACAAACAACACAUGUCCAAGCAUAAUGUGUAUAUAAGUAUGAAAUAUAGAUCACAGUAGUUGAUAGCACAGGCAAGCGACAUAGAUAACCAUUGUUUCAUAUGCACGCUCAAAAGAAUUAAGUAAGCAAAAGUAGUUUGAUUUUCACAUCUCAAGUUUUGAUGUGAUAACUCAAGAACAUUUAGUCCUGAGCCAUGACACUAAGGAGUUGAACUUCACAAAUUUGCGCAAAAUACUACAAUGUUGAUACCCUGGAAUGAUUAAUUUCCCCAUGACCACAAAAAGCAGUAACUCAUAACCAAAUCGGUAUCUAACACAACACACAUACAUUAGUCAUGUUUGUCUAUAGAAGAUUUGUUUCCAGGAGAUACUCCUAAUAGUGCAAAUAGCAAUUAUUCCCUCCGUUCCAAAAUAGAUGAACCAACUUUGUAUAAAGUUAGUACAAAGUUGGGUCAUCUAUUUUGGAACCGAGGGAGUACAACGCUAAAUCGACAAAUUUACUGUAAUAACUGAUAAGGAUGAUCCUUGAAGGAUGUAAGUGUGACCAUCAGAAGAAAAUCAAAUCACGUACAAGUUUCCGGAGUUGUGCAAUUUAGGGAAGCACCUGCUCAAGCACAGGAUCAAGGGAUAGAACACAAAUGAUAUCAAGAUCUUGUAGAAGCUUAUCAAAAUAUGUAAUUUCAUGUGACAAUGUAGUUACUGCAAUGCUUUUGAAGUUGAAAAGUAUACACAAACUAUUAUCUAUUAGAUGGCAUGUAAGUUUAAGCAUAAUUUUUGGUACCGAUGUGAACUUGUUCUUUAUAUAAUAUAUGGAUAUAUCACAUUCAGAAAACAACUUUCACAGAACAUAAAUAAUAAACUUCAUAUCAGAGAACUAACACUUUUGCAAGUUCAAAUCUUUAAACUCUAGAAACAGUACUACACUUUCAGUCUAUAUUUGUAGCAAACAAAGAAGAGACAGAAAGAGAUUCUCUAUCUGAUUUUUUUCCUACAUGUACAAGUAUAUGUGCGUGAUGACGAGUGAACUAAAUGAUCUGACAUCAAUCAAUCAAUGGAGAUAAACAAGGGUACUUGUUCAUUCCAGCUACAUGUUCAUUAGUCAAUGUUUGUUUUCUUUUAACAUCCAGAAUUAGCACAAAGAGCACUUAAUCAUAGUAAAUGGAAGAAUACCCAUUGGCACCAAGAAUUAGAGUUGUGAAGAGCAUCUUCAUUGGUACAUUCAAGCACAAGUUUGAGAGAAAAAAAUGUUACCUCAGUAUUGAACUCCUAUGAAACAAGUAGCUAGAUGGUAAAUCAGGGCAGGAAAAGUAGCUACUUUUGUAGAGAAAUUUUUAAUAUCAAAUCCACACUCAUCUCUAUAAAUUUAGCUCUUCCAGAUGGUGGCACCAAAAACUUUAUAGAGCACUGCCGCUACAUUUCCCUACUACUAUAGUACAUAAUUUUUUGAAUUUGGAUUAGCAGUCCGCCCAGAGCCCCAGACUCCAGAGAAAAUACAACUCAUUGAUUUGUUCCAUAAAAUGAAUAUCCACCAUUCAUCACCAUGCCCAAGAGAUCUAAUGGUUGACAUUUCUUAGAUUUGCUAUGUACGGGCAGGCGCCAAAAGGACUCCAGUACCUUUCUGGAAUCCUAACGGCUCCAGAUGGGCCCACUAGUGAAACUCUGCUAUUCAAGAUCUUCUGUGGCUAUGAUCAGGAAACAAUGAUGACUAGAGUAACCUUCCUUCUAUAAACAACUAGCUUGUACAGAGCACUAAUUGUUUGUAUCUACCAAUUUUUGAAGAAGCAACUUGCCAAUCCUUUGGACGGGAUUUAACACUCAACAGCAUACAUACUACUCCCAUCUGAAAAUAAAUGUUGCUCAAAUAAACGGAUGAGUGAGUGAAGAACACAUGCAUAGCUCGUGCCUUCGACUAGUAUACACAGUCUUCAGUUGCGCAAUGUCUGAACCGGAAUAAAUAAAGACCGAUCCAUGUACUAAGAAGGAUGGAUACAAGCAAAUGAAAUAGGCACAUAUACUUACAUAUUAAGAUACCAAAAUGAAAUAUACACUAACCUGGCUGAAACCCUUUACUAAUCAUGAGCACCAAGAAUUCCUCGAACAAACCAACCACUGCUAGAUCCAGUCUCCAAUCCGUUCACUAAUAGCACCUGCAUCAAUUUGGUAGGAAAAGGAAAAAAACAAUAAGGAACACGCUCAGUAGUGACUCGCUGGAAGGGAAAAUCUGCCUUCGUACGGAGAACUGGACAACGCACACCAUGAGUUCUCAUCGAGCAGAGAAGAAAAGAUUAACAAUCUUGGUAAGGAAGAUCUCACCUGCAUCGGGUUUCCACCAAGACGGAUCUGAGGAAAGUAUUGUACCAGCACAAUAGAGAUGGGACACCACGCUCGCCGUUGGCGUGGAGGAAGCCAUGGUGGGGGCCUAUGCUCGUCGGCGUGAUGGACUGUAAAGAAGAGAUGGAGGCGACCGACAUCGUCGACCAGUUCUGGUGGUGGUGUCGAAGGGAGGGAGGCGACAAUGACCUCGCACAUCAGAGGCGUAUCAAGGGAGGCGACGCCGAGAUCCAAGCACCGCUGCCAUAGAUCCCGAUGGGGUUGCACUGGUCAACCAAAGGGGUGGUGGUGGAGGGCGUGGUCAACGGCAGAGGGGGCGGCGGCGGCGGUCAAGGAGGAGGUCUAGAGAGGGUUCGAUUUGGGGGAGAACGGGUCGUGUGGUGGCUGUAAUUCUUCUCUUUUUUUGAGCGGUGGCUGUAAUUAUUUUGAGUGGAAA
rnacentral:lncRNA from 1 species